GAUGAACGCUGGCGGCGUGCCUAAUACAUGCAGGUCGAGCGAACGGACGAGAAGCUUGCUUCUCUGAUGUUAGCGGCGGACGGGUGAGUAACACGUGGAUAACCUACCUAUAAGACUGGGAUAACUUCGGGAAACCGGAGCUAAUACCGGAUAAUAUUUUGAACCGCAUGGUUCAAAAGUGAAAGACGGUCUUGCUGUCACUUAUAGAUGGAUCCGCGCUGCAUUAGCUAGUUGGUAAGGUAACGGCUUACCAAGGCAACGAUGCAUAGCCGACCUGAGAGGGUGGUAGGCCCCACUAGAACUGAGACACGGUCCAGACUCCUACGGGAGGCAGCAGUAGGGAAUCUUACGCAGUGGGCGGGAGCCUGACGGAGCAGCGCCGAGUGAGUGAUGAAGGUCUUCGGCUCGUAAAACUCUGUUAUUAGGGAAGAACAUAUGUGUAAGUAACUGUGCACAUCUUGACGGUACCUAAUCAAAAAGCCACGGCUAACUACGUG
rnacentral:rRNA from 1 species